rnacentral:rRNA from 1 species
AUUGAAGCUUGCUUUGAACUGUUUUAGUGGCGGACGGGUGAGUAACGCGUGAGGAACCUGCCUUUCAGAGGGGGAUAACGUCUGGAAACGGACGCUAAUACCGCAUGACAUUUUGUUGCCGCAUGGUGAUAAAAUCAAAGGAGCAAUCCGCUGAGAGAUGGACUCGCGUCCGAUUAGCCGGUUGGCGGGGUAACGGCCCACCAAAGCAACGAUCGGUAGCCGGGCUGAGAGGCUGAACGGCCACAUUGGGACUGAGACACGGCCCAGACUCCUACGGGAGGCAGCAGUGGGGGAUAUUGCACAAUGGAGGAAACUCUGAUGCAGCAACGCCGCGUGAGGGAAGAAGGUUUUCGGAUUGUAAACCUCUGUCCUCAGGGACGAUAAUGACGGUACCUGAGGAGGAAGCUCCGGCUAACUACGUGCCAGCAGCCGCGGUAAUACGUAGGGAGCAAGCGUUGUCCGGAUUUACUGGGUGUAAAGGGUGCGUAGGCGGCACUGCAAGUCAGGUGUGAAAACCAUGGGCUUAACUUAUGGAUUGCACUUGAAACUGUGGUGCUUGAGUGAAGUAGAGGCAGGCGGAAUUCCCGGUGUAGCGGUGAAAUGCGUAGAGAUCGGGAGGAACACCAGUGGCGAAGGCGGCCUGCUGGGCUUUAACUGACGCUGAGGCACGAAAGCAUGGGUAGCAAACAGGAUUAGAUACCCUGGUAGUCCAUGCCGUA